rnacentral:lncRNA from 1 species
AUGUCCGUCGGUGAGCAGGGGUCACUUCUCGCUGGCRCACUCCCURUCCUCGUCCCCAAUUCCACCCRCGAGGGGCCGAGAUCGGGCACAGYCGCCRUCYCAUCCCCAAUUCCACCCGUGAGAGGCCGAGACCUGGCACAGCCGCUCAUCCCCAACACCGUCCUCGAGGGGCCGAGACCUGGCACGGCUGCCGUCCCCAUCCCCAGUACCGCCCUCAAAGGGCUGAGACUGGGCAUGGCYGCCGUCCCCGUCCCCAACGCUGCUCAUGAGGGGCUGAGACCRGGCACAGCUGCCGUCCCCGUCCCCAACACUGCCCUCAAAGGGCUGAGACCAGGCAUGGCUGCCGUCCCCGUCCCCAACACCGCCCUCGAGGGGCCGAGACCGUGCACAGCCACCAUCCCCAUCCCCGUCCCCAGCACCACCCUCGAAGGGCCAAGACCAGGCACGGCCGCCGUCCCCAAUGCCGCCCUCGAAGGGCCGAGACCGGGCACAGCCGCCAUCCCCGUCCCCAAUUCCACCCGCGAGGGCCCGAGACCUGGCACGGCCGCCGUCCCCAUCCCCAAUUCCACCCGCGAGGGGCCGAGACUUGGCACGGCUGCCGUCCCCGUCCCUGUCCCCAAUUCCAUCCGCAAGGGGCCGAGAGCGGGCACAGCCGCCGUCCCCAUCCCCAACGCCGUCCUCGAGGGGCCGAGACCGGGCACAGCUGCCGUCCCCAUCCCCAGCACCGCCCUCAAAGGGCUGAGACCAGGCAUGGCCGCCGUCCCCAUCCCCAACGCUGCUCGUGAGGGGCUGAGACCGGGCAUGGCCGCCGUCCCCAUCCCCAACGCUGCUCGUGAGGGGCUGAGACCGGGCACAGCUGCCGUUCCCGUCCCCAACACUGCCCUCGAAGGGCUGAGACCAGGCACGGCUGCCGUCCCUGUCCCCAACACCGCCCUCGAAGGGCCAAGACCACGCACGGCCACCAUCCCCAAUGCCGUCCGCGAGGGGCCGAGACCUGGCACGGCUGCCAUCCCCGUCCCCAGUUCCACCCGCGAGGGGCCGAGACCUGGCACGGCCGCCAUCCCCAGCACCGCCCUCGAAGGGCUGAGACCUGGCACGGCCGCCAUCCCCUUCCCCAAUUCCACCCACGAGGGACCGAGAGUGGGCACAGCUGCCGUCCCCAUCCCCAACGCCGUCCUCAAGGGGCCGAGACCGUGCACAGCCACCAUCCCCAUCCCCGUCCCCAGCACCACCCUCGAAGGGCCAAGACCGGGCACGGCCACCAUCCCCAACGCUGCCCACGAGGGGCUGAGACCGGGCACGRCCACCAUCCCCRUCCCCAAUUCCACCUGCGAGGGGCCGAGACUGGGCACAGCCGCCGUCCCCAUCCCCAGUGCCGUCCUCGAGGGGUCGAGACCAGGCAUGGCCACCAUCCCCGACCCCAAUUCCACCCGUGAGGGG